rnacentral:miRNA from 1 species
GUUCCCAUGCCACCCAUUUCUA